UUCUUGUGAUGAUUAGCCAUGCUAAUACUGAGUAGACAUCAGUCUGGAUGUGCUGGACUAGAUGUACUAUGAGUACAAUUGUUUCUCAUUUCUAUCUGAAGAAU